GACGAACGCUGGCGGCGUGCUUAACACAUGCAAGUCGAACGAUGAAGCCGGAGCUUGCUCUGGUGAAUUAGUGGCGAACGGGUGAGUAAAACGUGAGUAACCUGCCCUUGACUCUGGGAUAACUGCGGGAAACUGUAGCUAAUACCGGAUACGACCCUCGGAGGCAUCUCCUGGGGGUGGAAAGAAUUUCGGUCAAGGAUGGACUCGCGGCCUAUCAGCUAGUUGGUGAGGUAAAGGCUCACCAAGGCGACGACGGGUAGCCGGCCUGAGAGGGUGACCGGCCACACUAGGACUGAGACACGGCCCAGACUCCUACGGGAGGCAGCAGUGGGGAAUAUUGCACAAUGGGCGCAAGCCUGAUGCAGCAACUCCGCGUGAGGGAUGACGGCCUUCGGGUUGUAAACCUCUUUUAGUAGGGAAGAAGCGAAAGUGACGGUACCUGCAGAAAAAGCACCGGCUAACUACGUGCCAGCCGCCGCAGUAA
rnacentral:rRNA from 1 species